CUGCUCCCAACCAAACAUAACUCUGGGAAAGCGAUGCUAAUCAACUGCCUCUGCUCAUGGUGACACUGUCACUGUGACUAUCUCACCUUUCCUACACUCUCAGCUACUUUUCAGGAGACUGCCGAGCUGCCAGCUCAGACGGGGGGAGGCAGAGAUGACAUUCGCAUGGCUCGGCACCAGUGGAGUGGAGCAGAAGCAUUUUGAGAAAAAACAGAGGUCCAAGUUUGAAGAAAAGUACCACAAGACAAGCAUGAAAGAGAAGAAAUAAACAGAUGCAAUAAUGUUUGAACAGUCCAAGAGAAUUGGGGGAGAACACCAGUGACAAAAGGAGGGAUGAAAGGCUGCUGGAUGAAGUUUUCAACCAGUAUGAAACACCUGCCUCAUCAACAGACCAUUAUUACAGAAUUUGUUUAGAAAACAAUAUAAGACAGAGAUUGUAGUGAGACACUGAAGACAAUCAAUAUACUAAAAAACGUAAAUGUUCAAAUAAAUCAAGAACAAUGCCUACACUUCCAUAGAGCAAGACUCAUACAACUGUUAGAGCAGUAUUUCCUGCAUGACUAGGAGUGGGUAGGAAGACACUCACCUCAAGGGAAAGGUAUGAUCAUAUUGCAAUUAAGUGCCAUAUUGGUUUUUUUCUCUUUUAAUGGAUAACUAUCAACCAGAGCACUGGCCUUCCACAUGCAACACUAAGCAAACCCAACUUUACAGGCAGCUAUUAACCUGGCAAUCUGAAAGCUACCCUGGAACCUGUGUGAUAUAUAGAACAUAUCUCAAUUCUUCCAUGAAGGAAACGGUUUUGAACUUUCCAACUCAAAUAACUUUAAAUCUCCUAGAUUCAGCUAAGAUCACCUUAAAUCAUGCUGGUAUGAAGUUACUUAAAAAUUACCAAAGUCCAUGUGAAUGCUGUAGAGCAUCUCUGCUCUCCAUGCUUUCCCAAUCAGCAUCACUGGCUCAGUCUGAUGAAGCUACUAUGCAUCACAGAACAAGCUGGGCAAGGAAAAUGAUUCAGCUCAAAACUACUCGGAGAAGAAAUAGCAGCCAAAUGUAGCUAAACCUGGAGCUGUUAAGAAUACAGUGCCAACCAGGGCAACGUAUUAGGGACAAUAAUAACUUUUAAGAUCAGAGAACCCAAUAACCUCAGAUAAGGUAGUUUAUAUGAACACAGAAAAUAAAACACUACUUUGCUUUUAUUUCGUCCAACAUUUGACUCCCAAGCAUCAGUCAGACUUUCAUGGCAUAGAGGUAAACUUACAUUAAGUCUCUUUUUAGAAAGGUUUUAAGCUUCAAAUUACACCAUAUAGAUAUUAGGAUUUUAUCUUUAAUAAUGAAAGACAUUUUAUAUGAUCUUGGUGACCAUGACUGCUACUGCUCUCAGUGCCUUUGUUGCUAUUUUAGUUGGGUGGAUAGGACAAAAAGCCCACUCUGGGAACAAGUUAAGUAAACUCAAAAGAGAAUUUUCAGGUUUUCAGGUCAGUGAAUGCUUGUUAAGAGUAAACAGUGUUUUAUAGUCAACAGAAAUAUAUUCUACAAGCCAGACGGAUCUGACUUUGAAUAAGGUGUUUAUUCCAGAAGUAUGAACGUGAUUUUGUCAGUUUGAUCCACUUAUGAUUAAGAAAAAGGCUGAAGUGAUUUUGAGUCAUUAAAUAGGAAAUGUAAUUUAAUGACUCUCCCAAUUACUUUCUGCUUUACAUGACAACAGAGCAAUGAAGGCUGCCUUUCCUGGGACUCCACAUGAGAUAUUUCCAAGGGCUGUCCAAAAUCUUACUGAAGGGCAUCAGUGGUUAAUUCACAUAUUGAUUCAGACAGCAACCAGCUCACAGUCACAGCUAGUCCAGACAAAUGGACAACUCUGAGGCGUGAUUAAGUGACAUCUCUGCUGUCUCUUCUCCCUGAGCAACUGACCAGACUCUCUGCAUACCCAGUCCUCUAUACAUGGUUUCAUUAGGAGAGUACCACACUGUGAAGAAGUCCUACUCAUAAUACUGAUUACACCGAGAAAGGAAAAAAAAAAACACCUCAAAAACUAGUCUGCUAAUUAUUUUUGACAAAUUUGUCUUAGCACAUUCAUUGGUAUUUACAAGUAGAUUUUUUUUUCCCAAUAAUUAAACUAAACUUGAGCCUCUAUUUUAAUUCUGCUGUUAAAGCACAAAGACGAAAGGAAUUAAAUGUUGCUGAUGAUUGCUCAACAGGAUAUUCCAUAAGCCUUGGCAUGGAGUCACUAUUUUAGAAGACAAAGUGGUUUGGAGCCCAUUCAAUUACCAGUGUUUCUGUGUCAGGUCAGGGAAAAUUUCACCAAAUAUGUCUGGGCUCUGUGUCAGUUCUCACCCCCAAAGAGGCUACAGGAAAGCUGGAGAGGAACUUUUUACAAGGGCAUGCAGUGACAGGACAAGGUACUGGCCUCAAACUGAAGGAGGGUUGGCUUAGAUUUGAUAUUAAGAAAUUCUUUACUGUGACAUACCAUGUGGUGGUGAGCCCCUGACAAGCUGUGGAUGUCUCGUCUCUGGAAGUGUUCAAGACCAGGCUGGAUGGGACUCUGAGCACUAGUCCAGUGGAACAUGUCCCUGCUCAUGGCAUGGGGUUGGAACUAGAUGACCCUGAAGCUCCCUUUCAGACCAAACUAUUCUAGGAUUCUGUGAUUUAACUUGUAGGUUCUCUAUAAAACACUGCUUCAUUACCAAAGACAUAGACAGGACAUAAUUAGCCUCUUCCAAGAUCAUACAACAUUUAUAGUUUUGACCAGAAUUUUAGUCCUCUGAGUUUGUGUGACCAGCAUUCAUGUGGACAGGUGUCUGAACUCAACCUUACAAGUCAAAUUCUCUGAGGCUGUUAUGGCUUACCUCAGGGAUGUAAAAGAAAAUAAAGAAGACUGCCAAUGCAAAGUUCUUAAUAGGUUAUAGAUGAAAGGAGGAAUGCUUCUUCGAAUCCCCUAAAUUAACAGCCCUCUUCUAUCCACAGACUGUUCUUGGCCAAUAUCCGUAAGUAAUGGAAUUAUAAAAACAAGCUGAUGCUUCCAGAGUUUUGCAAUUACCAGGGGAUCAUACAGCUUGAAGAACCAUAGAUGGUUGCAUGCUGCAAGAAUUCUAAGUCAAAGGGUUGUAGUCAAAGGUUACUUUAAAAAGCAACUUUCCAAUUUGAGAUAUCAUGAAGAAAAUUUGAGAAGUCUGGUAUUUGAAGGGAAAUAAGAUAAAGUACAUACAUAUAUAUUGCAAACUGAGAGAGAAACAAGUCAUUAAAAUGAGUCUCAUCUACCACCCACUACUUUAAGUUUUAAAAUAUGAAUACAAUUCAUAACUUGUGAAAACAUAUGAAACAAGUUUAUUCUAAAAUUGAAAGAAGGGAGUUACAUCUGCACACAAGUCAAAUAUUCGGUAUUACUUAAGACCACAAAGUUUUCCUGUUCUCCUCUGUUUUUUC